rnacentral:rRNA from 1 species
UACGGAGGGUGCAAGCGUUGUUCGGAAUUAUUGGGCGUAAAGCGCGUGUAGGUGGUUUUAGAAGUCCGGUGUGAAAGCCCUCGGCUUAACCGAGGAAGUGCGCUGGAAACCAUAAGACUAGAGUGCGAGAGGGGAGAGUGGAAUUCCCAGUGUAGAGGUGAAAUUCGUAGAUAUUGGGGGGAACACCGGUGGCGAAAGCGACUCUCUGGAUCGUAACUGACACUAAGACGCGAAAGCGUGGGUAGCAAACAGG